rnacentral:lncRNA from 1 species
UGCACCAUCAAACCAAAAGAGAGAGAGAGACUGAGAGAGGUCAGAAAGGAGACUAGAGAUAGGAACAUGAAUCAAAAGAUUAAAAUGAUAAUUUGUUUGCCAAAAUGAAAUUAAAAUAACAGAAAUUAAUAGCAAUAGUUACAAGAACUCUAUGAACAAUAGCAAGAAUAAUAAACAAUAGCUAAUAUUUAAUGAUCAAUGCUAUAUCCAGGCACAAGGUCAGAAUGUCUAUUAAUUUACCUCUUAGGACUCUAACUUCAAAGUUGUAAUUCACAAUUUUAUAGGUCAUCGAGUCUUGAAGGGACUAAAGAUAAUUUCCAUGCUUUUGUAACUACUGGAUGAGAGCAGGCUGUGAUGGUUUAUAGCUGCUG